AUUGAACGCUAGCGGCAUGCUUAACACAUGCAAGUCGAACGGCAGCGCGGGGAGCUUGCUCCUUGGCGGCGAGUGGCGGACGGGUGAGUAACGCGUAGGAAUAUACCUUUAAGUGGGGGAUAACGUCGGGGAAACUCGAGCUAAUACCGCAUAAUCUCUACGGAGUAAAGCGGGGGACCUUCGGGCCUCGUGCUUAAAGAUUAGCCUGCGUUGGAUUAGCUUGUUGGUGGGGUAAAGGCCUACCAAGGCGACGAUCCAUAGCUGGUCUGAGAGGAUGAUCAGCCACACUGGGACUGAGACACGGCCCAGACUCCGUACGGGAGGCAGCAGGUGGGGAAUAUUGGACAAUGGGGGCAACCCUGAUCCAGCAAUGCCGCGUGUGUGAAGAAGGCCUGCGGGUUGUAAAGCACUUUCAGUAGAGAAGAAAAGCUCAAGGUUAAUACCCUUGAGUCUUGACGUAACCUACAGAAGAAGCACCGGCUAACUCCGUG
rnacentral:rRNA from 1 species